rnacentral:lncRNA from 1 species
UGAUUCAUAAAGUGAAGACCUCAGACCUCAGACGAGAAAAUGAUGUACGAGCCUGAGUCCAAUUGGGCUUAAUUAUGAUUAUGUUAGCAUGCAUACUUUGUUACCACUUUUCUGUACACAAUUUUGUAGUUUGUACUCUAUUUUUGUUUAAAAUGGAUUGGUUUUGACUAGGGGUGGCAAUCGUGUCGGGUCGUGUCGGGUUCGGGUUCGGGUUAACCUGUUUAAACCCGCUUCAGAUUUAUUUAAUAUAAAUUAAUCAACUUAAUUUCAUCAAAAAUUAAAACUAUUAGUAAAAAACAAAAUUAAAAAAAAUAUUUUUAAAAAACAAGAGGACGGUGAAAUAAACAAUUACUAUAAAGAGCAUAGAGAUGAAAAGUGUUAACAUUAAAGCCAAUUAUAAACAUAAUUAGGAGCAUCAAAUUUGAGUUUUAAAAAUAAAAAAACACCGAUCUGGUUUCAAUUGAUUAAUUAAAACAUCAUGCUCUUUAAACCCAAAACAAAUCAAUUGAAAAAUAAGAAAAAUAUUCACACAAUCUCUAACUUUGAUAUAAAAAAAUAAGAACCACCAGCAAACAAGUUUUUAAUAAUCAAUUCAUUACUACUAUAUAUUUCUACAUAGUUAAAUAAGAAGAAAGAAAACGAUUGUUGAAAAGAGAUGAAAAAUGAGGGAUGGAGAGAUGAUUUCAAAACUUGAAAUAAAAAAUAUUAAUUUUUAACGGGUUUCGGGUUGACCCGACCUGUUAGUGGUCAAACCCGAACCUGACAUGUUUAUAAACGGGUCUAACAGGUUCGGGUCAAAAUGACCCGAAAAACCCGAUAAUACUAAACCCAAACCUGUUUAUCUCAGGUCGGGUUCGUGUCGGGUUAACGGGUUGCGGGUCAUUUUGCCACCCCUUGAGUUUGUUGUUUCAAGGGAAAUUGAUUGCUUAAUAAGUGGUUGUAUGCCUUUUAUUUUUAUUACAAAUCCUUGUGCUUUA